UACGUAGGGUGCGAGCGUUGUCCGGAAUUAUUGGGCGUAAAGAGCGUGUAGGCGGCUUUACAGGUCCGUUGUGAAAACUCGAGGCUCAACCUCGAGACGCCGGUGGAAACCGUAAAGCUAGAGUCCGGAAGAGGAGAGUGGAAUUCCUGGUGUAGCGGUGAAAUGCGCAGAUAUCAGGAGGAACACCCGUGGCGAAAGCGGCUCUCUGGGACGGUACUGACGCUGAGACGCGAAAGCGUGGGGAGCAAACAGG
rnacentral:rRNA from 1 species